rnacentral:rRNA from 1 species
UGCGUAACACGUAACUAACCUACCCAUCAUUGGGGAUAGCCCGCCGAAAGGCGGAUUAAUACCGCAUAAGACUAUAGAGUGGCAUCACUCAGUAGUUAAAGAUUUAUUGAUGAUGGAUGGGGUUGCGGGUCAUUAGCUAGUUGGUUGGGUAACGGCUGACCAAGGCGACGAUGACUAGGGGAGCUGAGAGGCUGGUCCCCCACACGGGCACUGAGAUACGGGCCCG